GGUGGCGCUUCCUACGAAAAGCCGUGCGGCUUCUCGGAGUAGCAGGAAAGUGAACUCAGCACAUUGGAAACCGGCGCUUUCAAUUAUUUCGGAGGAUGGUGUUGUCUCGGAGAUCGGUAACAAACACGUUGAUCGGAAGGCUAGAUCUCUGAAGAAAGCAAGACCGACUGAUACCACUUGUUCUCACAGCCACAAUGAUGACUACAGGUAUAUUCAUAAUAUACGUACAUAAUGUGUAGUAGAAGUAGGGACGCAAAUGCAACUUGGGCUAGACUAACCAGAGAAAUCCGAGCCCAGACCGAAUAUUUUAAGGCUUGAGUAAUAUAAAUUGGACCACAAAAGCAGGCUCGGGCAAAAAUUUUAGAGCCCGAAAUUAAAAUUGGGUUAGACUUGGACAAAAGUAUUGGACAACUGGAUCAACCCGAAGCCUAAAUCCUAUUAACUACAAAUGCCAUAAACGAUAUAUAUGCCAUUAUUCUAAUAUUUGCUAAUUAAUUUCCUUUGUUCAACUAAAUUUGAGUUGUAAAUAUAACUUGUGAGUAACUUUAGUGUUAUUUUGACAAUUACUUUUUUUAAAUUUCUUCGUAUAUGAACCACAAGAGAUCACCAAUUAUCUUUUCAUGAAUGACUAAAUAGCAAUCUUGUCAAAAUAAAUUUUUAAACGACUUUCAACUUAAUUUUUUGGGAUACCCAAGCUUAACCAGUAGAUAAAGCACGAGCUGGGCUUAAGCUACCUCCAGUCCAACACAGAUUCGGAUGGACUUGGGUAAAAGCUUGGUACGUGAAUAACACAUCAUGUGUGUGCAUUUAUACAUCCAGAAAAAAAAAAGGUUGUAAUUGCUGUAAAGUUUGAAGACUUUAAAGAAUUGAAAGGACAGUUGUCACCAACUUGUGAGUAAAAAAUAAGUUUUAUGGUAUCUAUUUUGACAAAAGAAAAAUUAUUCAUAGCUUCAAAAAACAUACCACGUACCAAAAGCAUAUUUACCAGGAUACCAAUUUGACCCGAAAAAUUGAGUCCCUACCCUACCCUACCCUAAUAAGGCUGGUUUGGAUUCUAAAUAAACGGGUUUGGGAUGAGUUAUGGGAGAGCGGAUGUAACCCGAAUCGGGUUCGGGGCGAGGACGGGUUUGACCAUGAAUACUCCGAACCCGCCUCCAAUUAUGUGUAAAUAAUCAAAAUUAUCCUAUUUUUUUUUAAUUAUACUAUAAUAUCCGUACUCUCUCUCUAUAUAUAUAUCUCAAUAAUGAGAUAUAAGUUUUUACACCGUUUAUAAAAAUAUAUACAUAUAAUUAAAAAAAAUAUUAAACGGGACAGAGGCGGGUUAGGGAGAUAGAUUUUUAAACAGGGAUGUAGUUUUGAGUCCCAACCCGUCACAGGAGUAGGGGAUGAUUUUCUUAAUCAGGGCAGGGACAGGUUGGGACAAACCCGUCCCGAACCCGCUCCGUUGCCAUCCCUAUUUACCAUGUUAACAAAUUUAACUUUCAAGUUUAAAUUUUAACAAAGUAGACUCUAAAACUUGUAACUCGUUAUAAUUCAAACCAUCUAAAACUCGUUGUAACCCGUGCCAUGCUUCUUGUUGUGGCCGUGUCGUACCCGUGCCAACCUGGCACGUCUACCAAAAGGAGUAUUAGAUUAGAUAAAUUAGAAGUUGGGCACGAGUAUAUUAGAAGUUUGUUUUUAUUUUUUUAUUUUUUUCUAUUAUUUUGUGGGUACGUCUGAAAAUUUUGUCAAUAAUUGAUGACCAAAUAAUUUUUGUGGCUGAUUUUGCAGGAAAGAUCCAAUGUUGAUGGCACUUCCCGAUUUCUCGCCGACGCCCUACUUGUUUUGAUUUUAAUGAUCUUAUUUUUUUUUCAUAGUUCACCAGAAUAUUUGUCUAUUUAAUCUGGUGGAUGAGUAGAUUGAUUGCUACAUAUAUACAUUACAACCUUUUUACAAAUAUUAUUUUGAUCCCAGUUAGAGCAAAAAUGAGUAAUUUUUCAAAUUACAUCUCAUGUCAUGCCAGCUUCUAUGUAAAUUUUAUGAUGAAGAAUGGUGCUUAGUUAAUGAUGAAUCCAACAGUGAUUGCAAAUUCUGAAAAGAUUUUAAGAUGCCUAAAACUCUAGGUUAGUGUUUCAGUGGUCAAAACCUAAUCGAGUUGUAUUUCUUUUUUCUAAACUCUAGGUUAGUGUUUCAGUGGUCAAAACCUAGGUUAGUGUUUAAGUGGUCAAAACUCGAAGUCGAUCAAUAUCAAAAAUAACAUGAUUGAAUUAUUUUUGUCUAGAUAGCAAGUACACCCUACAGAAUAGCUACUAUUUAUUAUUUUUAACACAAAUGAAAUACCAUCAUGAGACUAAUGGUUCCGAUGAACCCGAUUUUUUAAAUGGUUUUUAGUACAUUAGUUGGCACAACAAAUGAAAUACCAUCAUGAGACUUAUGGUUCCGAUGAACCCGAUUUUUUAUAUGGUUUUUAGUACAUUAGUUGGCACAACUCCAACAACGCUCGUCAAAAUAGCUAAUUCAA
rnacentral:lncRNA from 1 species